ensembl:snoRNA SNORA70 Small nucleolar RNA SNORA70
CUGCAGUCAAUUAAGCGGACUGGGCCCCUUUGCUGGUGGGUGCCCAGGGUGUAGUGGCUGCAGACACCAACUUCCUUGGUAGUGUAUGCAGCCUGUUGCUUGUAUGGGCUGCCCCAAGAGACUUUCAAGACACUG